UAUUUAUUUUAUUAUGUUUAUUUUUUGUUUAUUUAAUUAUUUAAUAAAAAUAAUUUUGUUGAAUUUUGUCUUAGUAUAUUUUGUAGAAUUGAUUUUUUAGAUUAUAGCUUAUUGGUAAUGUAAUUGUUUUAUGAAAUAUUAUUUUAAAUUUUUAAAAGUAGAUUUUAUUUAUUGUACCUUUUGUAUCAGGGUUUAUCAAAAUUUUAGUAUUUAUUUUACUUGUCUCGAUUUGGGUUGAUUUAUAAAUAAUUUAUAGUUAAUGUAUCAUAAUUAUUAUUAAAUUAUUUAUAGAAAUGAGAUGUUAAUCGUUUCCCAAGAUAUCUAGUUUCUUAAGAAAAAAUUUAAUUUUUUGAAGUUAAUUGUUUCUAUUUAAUUUUUUAAGUAUAAAUAUUAACUUAUUUAUUCUUUAAGGGAUAAGCUUUGAAGUUAAUAACCUAUAAUUUGUUUUAAUAAAAUAUAAUAGUAAGCUUUAGACCAGCUAUCUUUAAGAUUUCGUUUUAGUUCAUUAUUUUUUAUUUUGAUUUUAUAAUUAUUUUAGGUUUUUUAUUAAGAUUAUUUAUUUAAUUUUAAAAUUUUUGUAAUAAUGAUAGAAUUAGUAUAUUUAUUUGUAUAUAAUUUUUACCUUGUGAAUUUAUUAUAAGGAACUAGGC
rnacentral:rRNA from 1 species